AACGAACGCUGGCGGCAGGCUUAACACAUGCAAGUCGAGCGCCCCGCAAGGGGAGCGGCAGACGGGUGAGUAACGCGUGGGAACCUACCUGAAGGUACGGAACAACUCCGGGAAACUGGAGCUAAUACCGUAUGUGCCCGAAAGGGGAAAGAUUUAUCGCCUUCAGAUGGGCCCGCGUCAGAUUAGCUAGUUGGUGAGGUAACGGCUCACCAAGGCGACGAUCUGUAGCUGGUCUGAGAGGAUGAUCAGCCACACUGGGACUGAGACACGGCCCAGACUCCUACGGGAGGCAGCAGUGGGGAAUAUUGGACAAUGGGCGCAAGCCUGAUCCAGCCAUGCCGCGUGAGUGAUGACGGCCUUAGGGUUGUAAAGCUCUUUCGACGGGGACGAUAAUGACGGUACCCGUAGAAGAAGCCCCGGCUAACUUCGUGCCAGCCGCCGCAGUAACAC
rnacentral:rRNA from 1 species